ACGAUCGAAUGUGCAGCUAGUUGUCUGGGGGCCGCUGAAUUUCUCUCCGUAGCGAAGAGGUGUUUCAGCGCGAUGCGAGUUUUAGUUGUUAGACUCACUUUGAGAAUUUGAUUAAUAUUGUGGGGUUUUUUUACUCAGAAAAUGCGUAUGCCGGUUCACAAGGAAACUUUGUCAAAAUAUUCGGGUAGAUUACGACUUGUGGUACAACUUGAAAUGUCUUGAUACAGUUGUGCUUUUCUUGAUGAGAGUCUCGUGAUUUCUUCAGCCACUCAUUUUCUGAUUAAUUCUUACAAGUGGGUCAUUUCUGCGAACAGCUGAUCUCAUUUUGAUUCCAGUCCUAUUCUUAGAAGGACUUCCCUGGUGGUACAGUGGUUAAGACUCCACCUGCCAAUGCAGGGGACACGGGUUCUAUCCCUGGUCCAGGAAGAUCCCACAUGCCCCAGAGCAGCUAAGCCCGUGCACCACAACUACGGAGCCUGCGAGCCACAACUACUGAGCCCGUGUGCCACAACUACCGAAGCCUGGGCGCCUAGAGCCCGUGCUCCGCAACAAGAGACGCCACCGGAAUGAGAAGCCCGCGCACCGCAACGAAGAGUAGCCCCCCCUCACGGCAACUAGAGAAAGCCCGCGCUCCACAACGAAGACCCAGUGCAGCCAAAAAUAAAUAAAUAAACUUAUAUUUUAAAUUAAUUAAUUAAUUAAUUUAAUUAAAAAAAGAAGUAUUGUGGUCCCAGUAUCUCUGCUCUGCUGGCUUAUCAACGGAAGGCUUCUGGGAAAAGUGCAUCCACAGCAUGAAUGCUGCUGCAGAGUCUGAAGGUGCUGCAGACAUCUUUUAAUAUGCUUGGUGGCCUCUUGAAGGGUCAUCUGAAAGGCAUCUCCAUGAC